rnacentral:rRNA from 1 species
CAAGAGCGUAUGUAAAAGUUGUUGCAGUUAAAAAGCUCGUAGUUGAACCUUGGGUUUGGUUGGCCGGUCCGCUUUUUUGCGAGUACUGGAUUCAACCGAGCCUUUCCUUCUGGCUAACCAGUCGUUUCGGCGGCUGGCGAACCAGGAUUUUUACUUUGAGAAAAUUAGGGUGUUCAAAGCAGGCAUUAGCUUGAAUAUAUUAGCAUGGAAUAAUAGAAUAGGACGUUAUGGUUCUAUUUUGUUGGUUUCUAGGACCAUCGUAAUGAUUAAUAGGGACGGUCGGGGGCAUCAGUAUUCAGUUGUCAGAGGUGAAAUUCUUGGAUUUACUGAAGACUAACUACUGCGAAAGCAUUUGCCAAGGACGUUUUCAUUAA